CAGCUGCAGGGCAGGUGUAACAGUCCCCGCCCCUCCCUGCACCAGAUCCACCUCUGUUCCAGGAAGAGGGAAGCAGGCACAGGAGCCAGGCUGUGGCCGGGGCUGAGUCUGGCCUUAGGCCCUCCUCUGGGGACCUGGAGGAGAACCCGGCUCUCUGAACCGAGGGUCUCCAGGGCAGAAGACAUCCCAGUGCCCUGUCCAAAACGCAUCUGCAACGUCGACUGUGGUCUAUGCGCCUAGAGACUCUGGUUAGGGCACGCACUUUCCACAUCUAUCAGUGGAGUCUUAGUUUCUUUUUUUCUGGUACUACGGAU
rnacentral:lncRNA from 1 species